AGAAUCUUAAGUUAAAUAAACUAAUAGCCUUCAAAGCUAUAAAUAAGGAAUCCCUUAGAUUCUG
rnacentral:tRNA from 1 species